UACGAAGGGGGCUAGCGUUGUUCGGAAUUACUGGGCGUAAAGGGCGCGUAGGCGGCCUGUUAAGUCGAACGUGAAAUCCCUAGGCUCAACCUAGGAACUGCGUCCGAUACUGGCAGGCUUGAAUCCGGGAGAGGGAUGCGGAAUUCCAGGUGUAGCGGUGAAAUGCGUAGAUAUCUGGAGGAACACCGGUGGCGAAGGCGGCAUCCUGGACCAACACUGACACUGAGGAGCGAAAGCCAGGGGAGCAAACGGG
rnacentral:rRNA from 1 species